AUUGAACGCUGGCGGCAGGCCUAACACAUGCAAGUCGAGCGAGCGGCGGACGGGUGAGUAAUGUAUGAAGACUGCCCGAUAGAGGGGGAUAACUACUGGAAACUGUGGCUAAUGCCGCAUACUAUCGGAUAACCCAUAUGGGAGUAGCUAGUAGGGGUGGUAAAGGCUCACCUAGGCGACGAUGUCUAGCUGGUCUGAGAGGAUGAUCAGCCACACUGGGGCUGAGACACGGCCCAGACUCCUACGGAGGCAGCAGUAGGGAAUAUUGAACAAUGGGCGCAAGCCUGAUGCAGCAAUGCCGCGUGUAUGAAGAAGGCCUUAGGGUUGUAAAGUACUUUCAGCGGGGAGGCGUUACCCGCAGAAGAAGCACCGGCUAACUCCGUGCCAGCAGCCGCGGUAAUUC
rnacentral:rRNA from 1 species